rnacentral:rRNA from 1 species
CGUGGGUAACCUACCCAUCAGAGGGGGAUAACACUUGGAAACAGGUGCUAAUACCGCAUAACAGUUUAUGCCGUAUGGCAUAAGAGUGAAAGGCGCUUUCGGGUGUCGCUGAUGGAUGGACCCGCGGUGCAUUAGCUAGUUGGUGAGGUAACGGCUCACCAAGGCCACGAUGCAUAGCCGACCUGAGAGGGUGAUCGGCCACACUGGGACUGAGACACGGCCCAG